GACGAACGCUGGCGGCGUGCCUAAUACAUGCAAGUAGAACGCUGAAGGAGGAGCUUGCUUCUCUGGAUGAGUUGCGAACGGGUGAGUAACGCGUAGGUAACCUGCCUGGUAGCGGGGGAUAACUAUUGGAAACGAUAGCUAAUACCGCAUAAGAGUGGAUGUUGCAUGACAUUUGCUUAAAAGGUGCACUUGCAUCACUACCAGAUGGACCUGCGUUGUAUCAGCUAGUUGGUGGGGUAACGGCUCACCAAGGCGACGAUACAUAGCCGACCUGAGAGGGUGAUCGGCCACACUGGGACUGAGACACGGCCCAGACUCCUACGGGAGGCAGCAGUAGGGAAUCUUCGGCAAUGGACGGAAGUCUGACCGAGCAACGCCGCGUGAGUGAAGAAGGUUUUCGGAUCGUAAAGCUCUGUUGUAAGAGAAGAACGAGUGUGAGAGUGGAAAGUUCACACUGUGACGGUAUCCUACCAGAAAGGGACGGCUAACUACGUGCCGGCAGCCGCGGUAAUACGUAGGUCCCGAGCGUUGUCCGGAUUUAUUGGGCGUAAAGCGAGCGCAGGCGGUUAGAUAAGUCUGAAGUUAAAGGCUGUGGCUUAACCAUAGUAGGCUUUGGAAACUGUUUAACUUGAGUGCAAGAGGGGAGAGUGGAAUUCCAUGUGUAGCGGUGAAAUGCGUAGAUAUAUGGAGGAACACCGGUGGCGAAAGCGGCUCUCUGGCUUGUAACUGACGCUGAGGCUCGAAAGCGUGGGGAGCAAACAGG
rnacentral:rRNA from 1 species